UAAUUCCUGUUCCUCAAAUUCCACUUUCAGGAACAGAGACCAGCGAGUGGUGGAAGUGGGGGGGUCAAUUAUGCGUCAAGAACGUUUCCCCCUCGACCCUGACAGCUCCCUGGCCGUCUCCAAGAUAGCCGCUAUUUUGCACCAGGGAUUAUUGUGGAUGGUCUUUGGAACAUCUUACGUCAACUCUGUCAACGUGGGCUGCAUGAACCAAGCCAACUUUAAGGCCGCAGUGCCACAGACCAUCCCAGUGAAAGAACUCGGAGCUUUCCAUUUCUUCAGCACCGGAGACAACCUUUACCUGGUCAUAGGAAAACAACAGCAAGGUUCAAUGAUCUACAAGCUGGAGAGGAAGAACAAUUUUGACCAGAUGGAGGACGUGAGACUGAGGACCAGGCAUGUGAAGGCAAUAACUGGCUUUGUGGAUGGAAAUGCCUACUACCUCAUCUUCGGCAUGACCUCAGAGGAGGGCUCACAGGUAUACAAGUUCGACAUACUGACUGAGACUGUUCAACUGGUUCAAGAGGUUCAGGACAGACAGGUACAAGGCGCUCAUCAGUUCAUCGACCUACAUGACAAUCAGCGAUACCUGGCACUCCUUAACACCAAUGCACAGCUUCGCCUUUACCUAUGGAACAGAGACCAGCUUCAGGAGUGGCAGACCCUCAAGUCCCCACAGAUAGGACCCAGCACCUCCCUUGCCAUAGUAGGCCUCUCCAACCUUGAAAACAUCCUCUGCCUGGCACACAAGGGCAAUCUCUAUUUCUACUCGGAUGACCUCACGGGCCACUACAUCGUUAACUUCGUCGCUAGAACCAAGUGCAUCAAUGUGUACAGCCUUCAAGCACUCAGGAUGGGGCAGGAGUAUGUCAUUGCUUAUCUCUGUGAUGAGGCUACAGGAUCACUUUCACUUCAGGGUCGUCGGCUACUUCUGUCCGAAAGGCUUGAAGUCCAAAGGGUGACCCGCACUGAGGAGCUUCUCGCCUGCCUGCAAGAUGUAAGCACAGGACUAGACGCUCGCAGAAAUGACAUCACCAUCCUGGAUAACUACCUCAACAAGCUGCCCCCCAAGCCUGACGAUGGGUCUCAGAGAUGGCAAGGGCCCAUCACCUUCGCUCGGGGGUUGACUGUUACCGGGACGACCACCUUUGAAGAGACCCUCACCCUCCAGCCACCUCAGGAAGUCUUGCUAACACCCGAGUCCCUCCCACUAGUCAGCACGCGCCUCGAAGCUCUACAGGAGUCCGUUCAGGUCCUACAGAACAACUCCAACUAUGUGCUGUAUUACUCCGAGGACCAAAGCUUCCCCGGACCCAUCAACGCUCCGGCACUCCGAGUGGACGCUGCACACUUCGGCACGCUGAAAAUAGGCAAGCUGAACGGCUUGGAUAUUGCAAACUUGGAGCAAAUAGUUCUCCUGAAUGGCGUCGACCAGCACAUCAACGCUCCUCUCGUCCUGCCGUCACUGAGGGCCUACAGAUUCACCACACACACGGCGCAAGCCACUCUCAACGGCAUCAGGACAUCAGACUUGAUGCGCAAGAAUGCCCAGCACCAAGUUGUGAGCGGCGAACAUAUGUACACGAAGUUGAGAGUUGUUGGGAACAUUCUGCCGCUCCCUUCCGCUGACCGUGAAUUCACAAUCAACGAUGUCCCCGUCUCCACCAUCGUUACGAAAGGCUCCUCCGUCACCUUCCUGGCACACAAAACCAUAAAGAAGUUGGUGGUGAUGAGCACUGUGGAUGUACGCCUUGUAAAUGGGGUGAGUCUGCGCUCCGUGGGUGACCAGGUCGUGUACACAGAUAUGGCCCAGCCGCAGAUCUUGAGCGGGGCGGUGAAGCUGACGUCCGUGGAGGUGGCCGGGGAUGUUGAUGUGGUGCUCAUCAAUGGCGUCAACUUGAGGCAGCUGAACGCAAACACAGUCAAGGUCACCGGGAACUUUGCCCUUCAAGGUGAUGUGUGUCUCCCUUGAAUGGAUUGUUUAUAUCGGCCUUCAAGGUGAUGUGUGUCUCCCUUGAAUGGAUUGUUUAUAUCGGCCUUCAAGGUGAUGUGUGUCUCCCUUGAAUGGAUUGUUUAUAUCGGCCUUCAAGGUGAUGUGUGUCUCCCUUGAAUGGAUUGUUUAUACCGCCCUUCAAGGUGAUGUGUGUCUCCCUUGAAUGGAUUGUUUAUACCGCCCUUCAAGGUGAUGUGUGUCUCCCUUGAAUGGAUUGUUUAUACCGCCCUUCAAGGUGAUGUGUGUCUCCCUUGAAUGGAUUGUUUAUAUCGGCCUUCAAGGUGAUGUGUGUCUCCCUUGAAUGGAUUGUUUAUAUCGGCCUUCAAGGUGAUGUGUGUCUCCCUUGAAUGGAUUGUUUAUAUCGGCCUUCAAGGUGAUGUGUGUCUCCCUUGAAUGGAUUGUUUAUAUCGCCCUUCAAGGUGAUGUGUGUCUCCCUUGAAUGGAUUGUUUCUACUGGCCUUCAAGGUGAUGUGUGUCUCCCUUGAAUGGAUUGUUUAUAUCGGCCUUCAAGGUGAUGUGUGUCUCCCUUGAAUGGAUUGUUUCUACCGCACAGGAGACAGCGUAAGGGCAAAUACAAGGAUUCAGAACAUAAGCCACUUGUCACGGUUCUCCAGGAGUAAAUAAAUUCAAACAUGAUCAGAGAGGCGUUCAGCUUAAAGGCAGAAGGGUAUGUUAUGCCCCGAGAGCUUAUUUUCUCUUUCUAUUUUCCCAACACGUCCUCUGCACGUAUCGAAACACACAAGGGUAUAUGCCUGGGAUUGAACCCGCGACCAGCGUGAUGGGAGAGACACUUCUUACCGAGCCUGCCAAAGAGAUGCACCCCUGGUUAAGUGGGUUAUGGGAGGCUCGUACAUCAGGCAUAGUCAUCGCACUUCAGAAAUAUAGACAAAAUGAGGCUAUUCUAGAGUUUACCGGUGAAACUCAUGGAAGAGCGGAGAUGCUGGUAGACUCCUGCAUGGGAGAUUUGGGUAGCAUAUAGAUGAGCGAGUGUAGAAAGUAGAGUGCAUCAGGGGUGGGAGAGAGGUGGAGGCCUGUUAGCAUUUUCAGAAGAAGAAAAUAUCAUGGAAAAUAGAAAAAUAUCAAUACAACCAAAUGUUUAACCAGCAAUGGUCUACAUGGUGUUAGACUUCACAUAUUGUAUACAGAAUUUACUUAAUAUUUACAGGUAAUAUA